AACGAACGCUGGCGGCGUGGAUAAGACAUGCAAGUCGAACGAGAGUUUGUUUAUAGCAAUAUGAGCGAACUUUAGUGGCGAAAGGGUGCGUAACACGUGGCUAUCUACCUCGAAGUGGGGGAUAUCUCCGAGAAAUCGGAGUUAAUACCGCAUGUGACCGCAAGGUCAAAGCUGGGGAUCGUAAGACCUGGCGCUUUGAGAUGAGGCUGCGGCCUAUCAGGUAGUGGCGGGGUAAUGGCCCACCAAGCCUAAGACGGGUAGCUGGUCUGAGAGGACGACCAGCCACACUGGAACUGAGACACGGUCCAGACACCUACGGGUGGCAGCAGUCGAGGAUUUUUCUCAAUGGGGGAAACCCUGAAGGAGCGACGCCGCGUGAGGGAUGAAGGUCUUCGGAUUGUAAACCUCUGUCAUCUGGGAACAAU
rnacentral:rRNA from 1 species